AGAUAAUACCUGACGAACUCA
rnacentral:miRNA from 1 species